ACGGGAGGCAGCAGUGGGGAAUAUUGCACAAUGGGGGAAACCCUGAUGCAGCGACGCCGCGUGAGUGAAGAAGUAUUUCGGUAUGUAAAGCUCUAUCAGCAGGGAAGAUAAUGACGGUACCUGACUAAGAAGCCCCGGCUAACUACGUGCCAGCAGCCGCGGUAAUACGUAGGGGGCAAGCGUUAUCCGGAUUUACUGGGUGUAAAGGGAGCGCAGACGGCCAUGCAAGUCUGAAGUGAAAUCCACGGGCUCAACCCGUGAACUGCUUUGGAAACUGUAAGGCUAGAGUGCAGGAGAGGUAAGUGGAAUUCCUAGUGUAGCGGUGAAAUGCGUAGAUAUUAGGAGGAACAUCAGUGGCGAAGGCGGCUUACUGGGCUUUAACUGACGCUGAGGCUCGAAAGCGUGGGGAGCAAACAGGAUUAGAUACCCUGGUA
rnacentral:rRNA from 1 species